rnacentral:rRNA from 1 species
UGCAGUUAAAAGCUCGUAGUUGGAUUUCGGAAGGUCCUUAGUAAUCCGCCCCUUCGGGGAGCGGGUUACUGGCCUCCUAUGUUCCUAACGGUCCUCAUCCGCGAGGGUGGGGAAUCAACCGCUAGGAUCGUUUACUUUGAGGAAAUUAGAGUGUUCAAAGCAGGCGUAACUCGCCUCCGAAUACGUUAGCAUGGGAUAAUGGAAUACGACUUCGGUCUUGUUUCGUUGGUUUCGCUUGGCUGAAGUAAUGAUUGAUAGGGACAGUUGGGGGCAUUAGUAUUUAGUUGUCAGAGGUGAAAUUCUAGGAUUUACUAAAGACUGACCAAUGCGAAAGCAUUUGCCAAGGAUGUUUUCAUUAAUCAAGAACGAAAGUAGGGGGAUCGAAGACGAUCAGAUACCGUCGUAGUCUCUACCGUAAACUAUGCCGACCAGGGAUCCGGAGAGUUUGCAUGGAUGACUCCCCGGGCACCUUGUGAGAAAUCAUAAGUGUUUGGGUUUUGGGGGGAGUAUGGUCGCAAGGCUGAAACUUAAAGGAAUUGACGGAAGGGCACCACCGGGAGUGGAACAAGCGGCUUAAUUUUACUCA